GACGAACGCUGGCGGCGUGCUUAACACAUGCAAGUCGAACGCUGAAGCUUGGUGCUUGCACUGGGUGGAUGAGUGGCGAACGGGUGAGUAAUACGUGAGUAACCUGCCCUUGACUCUGCGAUAAGCCUGGGAAACUGGGUCUAAUACUGGAUAUGACAUGCCACUGCAUGGUGGUGUGUGGAAAGGGUUUUACUGGUUUUGGAUGGGCUCACGGCCUAUCAGCUUGUUGGUGGGGUAAUGGCCUACCAAGGCGACGACGGGUAGCCGGCCUGAGAGGGUGACCGGCCACACUGGGACUGAGACACGGCCCAGACUCCUACGGGAGGCAGCAGUGGGGAAUAUUGCACAAUGGGCGGAAGCCUGAUGCAGCGACGCCGCGUGAGGGAUGACGGCCUUCGGGUUGUAAACCUCUUUCAGCACGGAAGAAGCGAGAGUGACGGUACGUGCAGAAGAAGCGCCGGCUAACUACGUG
rnacentral:rRNA from 1 species